UAGGAGAAACUGUAACUUCAGCACAUGAAAUGCAUAAACCUAAGAUGAAUGAUGAUGAUGCAAGUUUUAAUAGCCCGGUAACAAAAACGUUUUAUUUCUCUUUUUAGCUACUGUUGACCUUUGAUCCUAUCCUUGUUGAGAAGGUUGCUAUUUUGUUAUACCAUAUUAUGCAAGAUAACCCACAGUUACCUCGACUUUAUCUAAGUGGAGUAUUUUUCUUCAUCAUGAUGUAUACAGGUUCCAAUGUGCUUCCUGUUGCUCGAUUUUUGAAGUACACACAUACCAAACAAGCCUUCAAGUCAGAAGAGACAAAAGGACAGGAUAUUUUUCAGAGAAGUAUACUUGGGCACAUUCUACCAGAAGCAAUGGUUUGUUACUUAGAAAAUUAUGAGCCUGAAAAGUUUUCUGAGAUCUUUCUAGGAGAAUUUGAUACUCCAGAAGCAAUAUGGAGCAGUGAAAUGAGGCGCCUCAUGAUAGAGAAGAUUGCUGCCCAUCUUGCUGAUUUCACACCUCGUCUUCAGAGUAACACAAGAGCACUUUAUCAAUAUUGUCCCAUCCCAGUUAUCAACUAUCCACAACUAGAAAAUGAACUAUUUUGUAGUAUUUAUUAUCUCAAACAACUUUGUGAUACACUCCGGUUUCCAGAUUGGCCAAUUAAAGACCCGGUCAAGCUUCUAAAAGAUACCCUUGAUGCUUGGAAGAAGGAAGUAGAAAAGAAGCCACCUACAAUGUCAAUAGAUGAUGCUUAUGAACUGCUUAAUCUCCCUCAAGGACAGGGACCGCACGAUGAGAGCAAAAUUAGAAAAGCUUACUUCAGACUUGCACAGAAAUACCAUCCUGACAAGAAUCCAGAAGGGAGGGAUAUGUUUGAAAAGGUAAAUAAAGCCUAUGAAUUUUUAUGUACCAAAUCAGCAAAAAUUAUGGAUGGACCAGAUCCAGAGAAUAUAAUUUUAAUUCUGAAAACUCAGAGCAUUCUCUUCAACCGUCAUAAAGAAGAUUUACAGCCUUAUAAAUAUGCAGGAUACCCCAUGCUAAUUAGGACUAUAACAAUGGAAACUUCAGAUGACCUCCUUUUCUCAAAAGAAUCACCAUUGUUGCCUGCUGCUGCAGAGCUGGCUUUCCAUACUGUUAACUGCUCAGCCCUCAAUGCUGAAGAGCUUAGACGGGAGAAUGGAAUUGAGGUGUUACAAGAGGCAUUUAGUCGCUGUGUGGCUGUCUUGAAUCGUUCUAGUAAACCAGGUGACAUGUCAGUACAGGUGUGUGGACACAUAAGCAGAUGCUAUAGUGUGGCUGCUCAGUUUGAAGAAUGCCGAGAGAAAAUUACAGAAAUGCCUGGCAUCAUCAGGGAUCUCUGUCGGGUGCUCUACUUCGGCAAGAGUAUUCCAAGAGUGGCUGCCCUUGGAGUAGAAUGUGUCAGCUCUUUUGCUGUGGAUUUCUGGCUACAGACACACCUAUUGCAAGCUGGAAUUUUGUGGCAUCUGCUUGGUUAUCUGUUUAAUUAUGACUACACUCUGGAAGAGAGUGGUAUUCAGAAAAGUGAAGAAACAAACCAGCAGGAAGUAGCCAACAGCCUUGCCAAACUGAGUGUCCGAGCUCUAAGUCGCCUUGGAGGUUAUCUACCUGAAGAACAAGCAACACCAGAAAAUCCAACCAUAAGGAAAAGUUUAGCUGGCAUGCUGACCCCCUAUGUUGCUAGAAAACUUGCUGUGAUUAGUGCUACUGAGAUUUUGAAGAUGCUUAACAGUAACACAGAGAGCCCCUAUUUGAUAUGGAACAAUUCUACAAGAGCAGAACUACUUGAAUUUCUUGAAUCUCAACAGGAAAGCAUGAUUAAAAAAGGUGACUGUGACAAAACUUAUGGAUCAGAAUUUGUCUACAGUGAUCAUGCCAAAGAACUUAUUGUAGGGGAGAUUUUUGUUAGGGUCUAUAAUGAAGUCCCUACUUUCCCACUUGAGGUUCCAAAAGCAUUUGCUGCAAGUCUCUUGGAUUAUAUAGGUUCCCAGGCCCAGUACCUUCACACCUUCAUGGCUAUCACUCAUGCUGCAAAAGUGGAGUCAGAGCAACAUGGAGACCGCUUGCCAAGAGUUGAAAUGGCUUUGGAGGCUCUGAGAAAUGUUAUAAAAUAUAAUCCAGGCUCUGAAAGUGAAUGCAUUGGUCAUUUUAAGUUAAUAUUUUCUCUUCUUCGAGUCCAUGGAGCUGGUCAAGUACAGCAGCUGGCUUUAGAGGUUGUGAAUAUAGUGACAUCUAAUCAAGAUUGUGUCAACAAUAUUGCUGAAUCAAUGGUUUUAUCCAAUUUAUUGGCUCUUCUGCAUUCUUUGCCAUCAAGUCGUCAGCUUGUUCUGGAGACUCUUUAUGCUUUGACAUCAAGUACAAAAAUUAUCAAAGAAGCAAUGGCAAGAGGAGCUUUGAUUUAUUUACUAGACAUGUUCUGCAAUUCAACACAUCCACAGGUUCGAGCCCAGACAGCAGAACUUUUUGCUAAAAUGACAGCAGAUAAACUAAUAGGUCCAAAGGUUCGAAUUACAUUGAUGAAAUUUCUCCCAAGCGUUUUUAUGGAUGCCAUGAGAGACAACCCUGAAGCUGCUGUCCAUAUUUUUGAAGGAACUCAUGAAAAUCCUGAGUUAAUUUGGAAUGAUAGUUCCAGAGAUAAAGUGUCCACGACGGUUAGAGAAAUGAUGCUCGAGCACUUUAAAAAUCAGCAAGACAACCCUGACGUAAACUGGAAGUUGCCUGAAGAUUUUGCUGUGGUCUUUGGAGAAGCAGAAGGUGAACUUGCUGUUGGAGGAGUUUUCCUGAGGAUCUUUAUUGCACAGCCAGCUUGGGUUCUAAGAAAGCCUAGAGAAUUUCUUACCGCACUGCUGGAAAAGCUAACCGAGCUUCUGGAGAAGAGCAGUCCUCACGGAGAGACUCUGGAAACUUUGACAAUGGCAACAGUAUGUCUCUUCAGUGCACAGCCUCAGCUGGCUGAUCAGGUUCCACCAUUGGGCCAUCUUCCCAAAAUUAUCCAGGCGAUGAAUCAUAGGAACAACGCCAUUCCUAAGAGUGCCAUUCGAGUUAUUCACGCCCUGUCUGAAAACGAGCUCUGUGUUCGAACCAUGGCGUCUUUGGAGACCAUUGGCCCACUGAUAAAUGGAAUGAAAAAACGACCGGAUACCAUUGGUCUAGCCUGUGAAGCAAUUAAUAGAAUGUUUCAGAAGGAGCAGAGUGAAUUAGUAGCACAGGCCCUGAAGGUAGAUUUGGUCCCAUACCUUUUAAAAUUGCUUGAAGGCAUUGGCCUUGAAAAUCUGGACAGCCCAGCAGCCACAAAGGCUCAGAUUGUUAAAGCUCUCAAGGCAAUGACUCGAAGCCUGCAGCAUGGAGAACAGGUGAAUGAAAUCCUGUCUCGUUCUUCAGUCUGGAGUGCCUUCAAAGAUCAGAAGCAUGAUUUGUUUAUUUCUGAGUCACAAACAGCAGGAUACCUCACAGGUGUCUCUCCUUCCCUUCUCACUGGCAGCAGCCCCCUUCACCUCAGGAGCGGACUUUAGAUCCGCUCUGCCAGGCAGCUUGCUAACUUCUGUGUAGCUCUCUGAAGCAGGACCUGGAGUUGCUGGCUACCUUACUGCAGGGACAUCCUCAUCAGUCAUGUCCAACUUGCCACCUCCUGUAGACCAUGAGGCAGGUGACCUUGGCUAUCAGACGUGAGACUUUCAUGAGAGACAAUAAACGCUGAAAGGCCAGUGCCCUGUCCACAUUCCUCCAGCUGAUCCAUUGAAGAAAACUCUUAACUGCCUUUCUCCUGGUUUCAUGACAGUGUUAUUCCUUUUUCUAUAAAUAUAUUUUUAUUUAGGAAAAAAAGUCAGUGAUUCUAAUUGUAUCACGUUAUAAGAAAGCACUCUGUGGAUCAACCUAAGUGGGUACACAAGAAUUUUUUUUCUUGAUGUAUGUAAGCACAUUUUGUUCCUUUAUAUCUGUUUACAAGACUGUGAAUCAAAAAGACAAAGCUUUCUUCCUAGUUUUUAUAAUGUUUUUUCGAAUUAGUGUGACUGUGGGGUUGAACUGCAGUCUACAGAGAUUGGGAAAUCAAAGUCACUCGGCCCCCAGAAGGGCAUUCCCUCUCCUGCCUCAAGUCUGCCUGGCUGUUCUCCCAUUGUUGAACACUUUUGGGUUUUGUCCUUGCACCUGUUCACUGGUAUCCUCUCCUCAAUCAUUUAACCUCCUGAGAGCUCACAGUACAUGUUGAUAUAUAUAACUGGCUUUACCAAACUGAAUGAAAAAGGAGCUUGUGCAAAAAAAUUUAAAAACAGACGUCAAGAUGUUAUGUAAGAGAUUAGUGUAAUUGUGAAAUGUUCUAUACAUUAUCAGAUAUAUAAAGCUUUCUAUAUUGAAUGUACAUUAUACAGAUCAUUCAUAUGUGUACAUAAAAUUUUAAAAAUAAAGGGAAUUGACUGCUUUGUUAAUGAUA